AAAAAUUAAAUUAAAAAGGUCAACUUAAAAAAAUUAGGAAAAGAUAAAAAAAAAAGUAAAUUAAAAAUUUGACAGUGUGAGCAUUACAGGUUCAAACGUCACGACCAGAUGUGCUGAGGUUUGUUGUCAAGGCAACAAAAACUCCAACUUUGUUGGAAAAGUUAAUGAGCUUCUUCGUCUUCGUCUUCGUCUUCGUCGGCGAGACUGGGAUCCAACGAUCCUUCAAAUCGACCAACCAAAACUGUGGAGCAUCCAUCUCAACCAGGAUCAGGAUAUUUAACAUACACCAGGACGUUUACGUCUGUCCUCUGGUCUCAGUAACUGGAAUCUGUCCCUGCAGAGUCAAAGUGUGCAGGGCCUGACUGGUUACUGCACCCAGGGGUCAGCUGACCUCCCAAAAACAGCCACCCUGCAGCGUCUGCACCGAGCACCGCCGCCUCACUCUGAUCAGGACGAGCUCUGAGUCACGUCAUCUGGACCGAAUUGUCUUCUUCUCUUUCCCCCCGCGGGCACAGUGAGCUGGAUGUGGAUUCGUGGAAGAUGUUGUAAUUUCCUGAGAAUUCUUGGAUCAGAGAUAGAGAGAGAGAGAGAGAGAGAGAGAGAGAGAGUAUAAACGCAGCAGCUGCAGCGUCAGCUGAUUCAGUGACCUGGGAACGUGGUUCCGUCACAUUAUAAUAGAGUUCCAUGUUGUUGUUUCCACAGAACGCUGGAUCCACCUGCAGAACACUUGUCUCCCCAAGUACCAGUACAUGUACAGUACAGUACUAUUACUCCAUAUACCAGGAACACACACACACACACGGAAAGCAACAUAGCCUGCAGACGAAGUUUCAGAUUCAGCUGAGUACCACUAGAGGGAGCUCAAGUACCACCCAGUGUACCCACACCACAGUUUGUCAUUGAUUCUAUAGAAUAAAUAAAUAAAACACAAUGAUGACAGA